ACUUUCACUCAGGUUCUGCUUUUAGUUGGUGGUUUGCAGUCUUAAGGGGAAAUUGACAACCAGAAACCAUAAUGGAGAAGGACACAGCUGUCUGAAUGGAGAGGACGCCUUCAUGCAGAGUGAAUGAGGAGAGCAUGCUGAGGAUUCCUACACUGGGAGGAAGUGAAUAAUUGUGAUAUUUGAGUGUAAAGAUAAGAUAGUCACCUGACCUCUCGCCAACUGACUAUCAUGUCUUCAAGCAUCUCUACCACUUUCCAGGGAAAAAAUGUCGACAACCAACAAGAGGCAGAAAGCCCUUCCCAAGAGUUCAUCAAAUCCUGAAGCAUGGAUUUUGUUGAUCAUUGUUUUUAGGUGACAUUCCUUUUGAAACAAUCAGUUACAAAAUGUAUUGGAGUAGUUAUGUACUCUUCGAGGUCCUCAGAGCAACAAACAACACAGAAAACUGAUGUCUGCAUGUGUGGAGGAAUCUCAUCACCAGUGAGCAAGCAUGAUUUAGGAAUCACCAUCCACAUGAAUCUCUCUCUUUGUUUAUUUGCAUUAAAUUUCAGAUUUCCCAAAUGAC